rnacentral:rRNA from 1 species
UACGAAGGGUGCAAGCGUUACUCGGAAUUACUGGGCGUAAAGCGUGCGCAGGCGGUUUCGUAAGUCUGUCGUGAAAUCCCCGGGCUUAACCUGGGAACUGCAUUUGUGACUGGCGGGCUAGAGUAUGGCAGAGGGGGGUAGAAUUCCACGUGUAGCAGUGAAAUGCGUAGAGAUGUGGAGGAAUACCGAUGGCGAAGGCAGCCCCCUGGGCCAAUACUGACGCUCAUGCACGAAAGCGUGGGGAGCAAACAGG